ACAGGGGUCCCCAAACCCCGGGCCGCGGCCCGGUACCGGUCCGCGGCUUGGUUGGAACCGGGCCGCGGAAAAAAAGUGAAUAAAUAAAGAUUUUUUUUUUUUUUUUUUAAUCAGUCGGAAAAAUAUUUUAUUUUGAAAAAGGACCGGAUCCACCCGUGUGUACGUCUGGGCCGCGUUCAGAAGUCUUAAAGUUCGGGUUUAUCGCUGCAGGCGAGUCUCACGCGCCGAACCCUCUGCUGGCGGCACAUUUCAGUGACAAAGAAUCUUCAAACAGAUUCAACCUGCUCAAUGAAUUCUGUCACUUCAGGGAAAUGACAACUGUUUUCAAGUUGGCCGAUAAAGUCGCUGCUGUGUGGGCGAGUGAACAGCGGAACAUUCUACAUGUUUCAGACGUUGACCGGGUGGAAGAGGCUUUUAAAAGAGUUUGAGCGGUACUCCAACCACAAAAGACCCGGCUGCAAAAGAAUAGACCUGCAACCCAUUUGUAAACAAACCCACCCGGUGAAUCGAGCCCGUCCGAGCUAGAAGAACAUGUGUUGGAGAUGCAAAUGACGGUGGCCUUAAGGGACAUUUCACACAACAACUCUGCCGGUGUUCUAAUGACAGCGACCAGAACUCGGUGAGGAGCAGCGGACCAAACACACGUCUGAGUCGCCGUCUCCAUCAGCGGCUCGUUGCAGGUUGGGGACCGCUGCUCUAGGAGACACCAUGCAGCGCUUCACCUUCCCCCAGGCAGCACUCCGUCCUGCAGCGACACCCCCCGGAGCUCCUCGAGGACGCGCCUCGCUCGCCAGGCCGGUGAGUAGAGCCCCGAGUGGGACUGUCCCUUUAAGACGGCUCGGGGAACUCGAUGACAACGUCCCAGCUGAGGUUGUGGAAUAAACCAAGAAGGGGUUCACGUCACUGAAUGUACUUUUAAUGCUGCGGGUUUUAUGCCCCAUAAGUUCUCCUCGGUGGAGAGAUCAACAUCAAAGUGUCUCUGGCGGGGUUCCCCACCCCGGUGACGGCGGCCCUGACCCUGCCGCGUCCUCAGAGACCCCUACGUCUUCUCUGGCCCUCUCUUCUUCAGCGUCCAGAUGUCAGGUGACCUUCCAGCGGUGGCCGAGCCGCCCCCUCUGGCGGCCCUCGUCGCCAUGGCGACCAACGCGGCUCACCUGCCGGCCAACUCCCUCAGUGUGGCUGCGCUGUCCUUAGAGACAUUAUAUACUCAGUAAAUACCUCUACUCGGCAAUAAGCAACUAUUUAAUAUGUUUAUCUAUUGUAUUCAAACCUGGUUAUUAAUUCAUGUUCAUGUGGGAUCAUCUAAACCUCUCGACAUGGAGGAAAUGACCUCUGCUGGACGUUGCGGUAGAAUUGAAUCAUUUUGAAGGUUUUCCAAAAAUAAUAAACGCCCAAUAAUAUAAAAGCUAACAAGCACACAGAUAUGAGGCCGCAUGCUGCUCACUGAGAAUGAAACACACUCACCACCGCGACUCAAAGCUUUAUUAUUAAAACAAGCCUAUCAACGGCUCAAAGGUUGCCCAACAUGAAGAUACUAACAGAAGUACAACUCUCUCACGGAUAAAUGUGAAACAGAAUAAACGACUAAAAACUCCAACAAUGUAUCCGGAGAACAAUAAAGUGGGGCAGUAAGCGUCGUCUCUCAUCUCCCUUUUUGGACGAGACGGCCGGGUUUCCACUGGUGACAUCAGGCGAAGCCCCCUCUGCCCAUGGCUCCUCCCCUUCCUCCCCGAAAGGAAGUGCCUGAAAGCACAAAGUGAUAAAGCAUGAAUGAGUCGUCGUCCUCCUGUCCACGUUCUCUAUGCUCUUCAAUAAACGGCUUCAUCAUGA